CGUAGCGUACGUGGGGUACGUGGGGAACAUGUCCCCCCUCCCCCCCACUAACAACAUGUCUGAGCAUGGAGCUCGUUUUUCUGAGUUGACUUGAACACACCAUAAGUAGGCGACUGCUAGUGCCGUAAAGCAGCGUGCACUAAACGUGGGCCAUGGACUAUUAGACUGACUGUUAGAUUAAGCGAGAGCAGGGUGAAGACAGCUUUAAUGGGAGAUUUCAGGCAGCAGGCCUCCUGGAGACUGCACAGUGCAGGGAUGCAGUAACUUCUGCUGCCAGUCUGCCCCUCAAGUUAUCUCCUGGCAUGUGGUCCUCAGGCUGGUUUUGCUGGUCCUUGUCCUCACCUUGGACGCCCCCCUCUUCUACAUCUGGCUCCACCAAGUCCACAUUUCCAAUGGAGAGGUUGAAGAAAGGCAUAGGUGGACACCACCACUGGGACAAAAGAAAAUAUGUAAAUAAAUAUGAAAAUGAUAAAAAAAAAUACAUGAAGCUCUACCGCAGGACCUGGACAUCAUGUACUGAACAAGCUGGGCCUUUAAAGUCAUUGUGAAAACAAUGAAAAAGACAAUGAAUUUCAGUUGGCACAUUGGAGAAUAGAUUAUAUUAACAAUGCCUGACAUAAACACUUCCGAGACACACUGCUUAGUAACUUACUUAUGAUUAUGACAUAUCUUAGAAAGGAACAACACAAUUAACAAUAAAGAGGUCACAAAUCCCCUAACAAAUACAAAUGUUAUCCUAAUCUUAAGAAUGUAUGCAAAUUGUAUCAACCUGUUGAUAAAGUACUGAUUCCAUCCCAUCCAAACCUGUGAAUGUGUUCAGGAAGUGACCUUGGUGAUCACAAACCCCCUGCAGCUGAAUAGAACGUAACCCCCCCCCGUCCCGCCCCCAGUCAUCCUUGUUUGCUGCAGGGGACUUGAUCCUGAUUUGCGUGCAAUCGAUGCUGCCUGCAAAUUGACGAAAGGCCCAGGACCCUGCCAAGGGGACACAGCUUUCCCCAGUCGCCUUCAGCUCAUCUGUGGCAGGAAGAUGGACCAUGCUCUGUGCGACCCAAUGGACCACAUCGUGGACUGUGGUGGUGGGGACAUCAAAGGCCUCACGACACCACACGAAAGGAGGUGGCACAGGCCAGCCAAUAGAAAUAAAGGCCAAACUCCAGCAACCUUUGCCUCAUUCAAAGGUAACUCUUAUUUAUUUCAACCUGGACCCUAUUUUUCCCAAGUAGCAAGUCUGCUUCAGUCAGAAGUGCGAAACACGCUGCAAUGAAACGUUGAUGAUGGGCAACUGUGCACAUUCAGUUUAGAUAAACUAAACGUGGUAUAUUUGCCACA